rnacentral:rRNA from 1 species
AACGAACGCUGGCGGCAGGCCUAACACAUGCAAGUCGAACGCCCUAGCAAUAGGGAGUGGCAGACGGGUGAGUAACACGUGGGAACCUUCCCUAUAGUACGGAAUAGCCCAGGGAAACUUGGAGUAAUACCGUAUACGCCCGAAAGGGGAAAGAUUUAUCGCUAUAGGAUGGGCCCGCGUCGGAUUAGCUAGUUGGUGAGGUAAUGGCUCACCAAGGCAACGAUCCGUAGCUGGUUUGAGAGAAUGACCAGCCACACUGGGACUGAGACACGGCCCAGACUCCUACGGGAGGCAGCAGUGGGGAAUCUUGGACAAUGGACGCAAGCCUGAUCCAGCCAUGCCGCGUGAGUGAUGAAGACCCUAGGGUUGUAAAGCUCUUUUGUCGGGGACGAUAAUGACGGUACCCGAAGAAUAAGCUCCGGCUAACUUCGUGCCAGCAGCCGCCGUAA